GACGAACGCUGGCGGCGUGCUUAACACAUGCAAGUCGAACGGAAAGGCCAUGCUUUUGUGGGGUGCUCGAGUGGCGAACGGGUGAGUAACACGCGAGUAACCUGCCCUUGACUUUGGGAUAUCUCUAGGAAACAGGGGCUAAUACCGGAUAGGAGCUCUUGCUGCAUGUUGGGGGUUGGAAAGUUUCGGCGGUUGGGGAUGGACUCGCGGCUUAUCAGCUUGUUGGUGGGGUAGUGGCUUACCAAGGCUUUGACGGGUAGCCCGCCUGAGAGGGUGACCGGCCACAAUAGUACUGAGAGACGGCCCAGACUCGUACGGGAGGCAGCAGUGGGAAAUAUUGCGCAAUGGGCGGAAGCCUGAUGCAACGACGCUGCGUGCGGGAUGACGGCCUACGGGUGGUAAACCGCUUUCGCCUGUGACGAAGCGUGAGUGACGGUAAUGGGUAAAGAAGCACCGGCUAACUACGUG
rnacentral:rRNA from 1 species